CCUACGGGAGGCAGCAGUGGGGGAUAUUGCACAAUGGGGGAAACCCUGAUGCAGCGACGCCGCGUGUGUGAAGACGGUCUUCUGGAUGUUAAACCACUGUCCCCAGGGACGAAAAGGACGGUACCUGCGGAGGAAGCUCCGGCUAACUACGUGCCUGCAGCCGCGGAAAUACGUAGGGAGAAAGCGUUGUCCGGAAUUACGGGGUGAAAGGGGAGCGGAGGCGGGGAUGCAAGUUGGGGUGAAAAACUACCGGCUCAACCGAUAGUCGCACUCAAGACUGCAACUCUUGAGUGAAGUAGAGGCAGGCGGAAGUCCUAGUGUAGCGGUGAAAUGCGUAGAUAUUAGGAGGAACACCAGUGGCGAAGGCGGCCUGCUGGGCUUUUACUGACGCUGAGGCUCGAAAGUGUGGGGAGCAAACAGGAUUAGAUACCCGAGUAGUC
rnacentral:rRNA from 1 species